GGGCCCGUGGCCUAGUUAGGAUAAGGCGUCGGCCUUCUAUUGCUUGGAGAAGGAGAAAGCCGGAGAUCCGGGGUUCAAAUCCCCGCGGGCCCG
rnacentral:tRNA from 1 species